AACUCUUUCCUGUGUGGUCAUCCUUCAACUCUUUUUCACAUGGUGCCUUGAUGAACAGGGAAGCUACAUGUCAGAGAUUGCCUAAUCAUAUGAUGGAAACAGACUGAUUCAAUGAAUAACAGUUUGGCAAUAGCACUGAGCCAGGCUGUUGCUCAAGCCACACUGGAUUUGCAGCCAAGGAUAAGACUUCCACAGGGCCCGAUUUGGAUUCUCCAUCCCUGCCAUCACCCUGCCAUGAACACUCAGACCCUCGGCUGUUUGGUCCUCUGUAUCCUGCUGGCAAAGGCCGCAGAUACUGGAGUCAUCCAGACACCCAGGCUUAAGGUGACAGAGAAGGGAAAAGAAGUCACUCUGAGAUGUAAGCCCGCUUCAGGUCAUAAUACCCUCUUCUGGUAUAGGCAGAUGGUGGGACAGGCGCUGGAAUUGUUGAUUUACUUCAAUAACCAGGCUCCAAUAGAUGAUUCAGGAAUGCCCAAAGAUCGAUUCUCAGCCGAGAUGCCUGACACAAAGCUCUCCACUCUGAAGAUUCAGCCCACAGAAGCCAAGGAUUCUGCUGUGUACUUCUGUGCCAGCAGUUAA